rnacentral:tmRNA from 1 species
GGGGGUGUACUGGUUUCGACGUGGGUUCGGAACUUGGGGCAGCGUGUCGUGUUACUCUGGGUCACGUAAAAACUGGGGAAUUUAAAAUAAACGCAAACGAUAAUUACGCUUUAGCAGCAUAGUCGCUGCUUGUCCCGCCUGAGCCCUCCUGCCGGCUAGGCCUGGACAUCAUUUAUGCAGGGUACUACUUUUAGGGUGUCUCGACUAUUAGUGGACUAAUUGGGACUGGUCAAGGAUAGAGUUUGUCACUGGACGCUAUCUGAGACGAGAUUUUAAAACAGAUGACUACACACGUAGACGCAACGAGGAAAAAGCUUGCGGACAGGGGUUCGAUUCCCCUCAUCUCCACCA